rfam:Capsaspora owczarzaki ATCC 30864 unplaced genomic scaffold supercont2.1, whole genome shotgun sequence.
GGGCUUGUAGCUCAUUUGGUAGAGCGCAUCGUUAGCAUCGAUGAGGUCAGCGGUUCGACUCCGUUCAAGUCCA